CUACGGGCGGCAGCAGUAAGGAAUAUUGGUCAAUGGACGAAAGUCUGAACCAGCCAUGCCGCGUGAAGGAUUAAGGUCCUAUGGAUUGUAAACUUCUUUUAUAUGGGACGAAAAAAGGUCUUUCUAGAUCACUUGACGGUACCAUAUGAAUAAGCACCGGCUAACUCCGUGCCAGCAGCCGCGGUAAUACGGAGGGUGCAAGCGUUAUCCGGAUUCACUGGGUUUAAAGGGUGCGUAGGCGGGCAGGUAAGUCAGUGGUGAAAUCCUGGAGCUCAACUCCAGAACUGCCAUUGAUACUAUCUGUCUUGAAUAUUGUGGAGGUAAGCGGAAUAUGUCAUGUAGCGGUGAAAUGCUUAGAUAUGACAUAGAACACCCAUUGCGAAGGCAGCUUACUACGCAUAUAUUGACGCUGAGGCACGAAAGCGUGGGGAUCAAACAGGAUUAGAUACCCUCGUAGUC
rnacentral:rRNA from 1 species